UAACACGGACCUAAAAACUGUAAAGGCACCAGAUCUCAUUUGACCUGAGAAGCUAAGCAGGUCAGCCUUGGUUAGUACUUGGAUGGGAGACCACCAACAAAUACUAGGUCCUGUAGGAA
rnacentral:rRNA from 1 species